UACAGAGGGUGCAAACGUUGCUCGGAAUCAUUGGGCGUAAAGCGCACGUAGGCGGCCUAGCAAGUAGGGAGUGAAAGCCCUCGGCUUAACCGAGGAAGUGCUUUCCAAACUACUGGGCUUGAAUACUGGAGAGGGUCGCGGAAUUCCCGGUGUAGAGGUGAAAUUCGUAGAUAUCGGGAGGAACACCAGUGGCGAAGGCGGCGACCUGGACAGAUAUUGACGCUGAGGUGCGAAAGCGUGGGGAGCAAACAGG
rnacentral:rRNA from 1 species